rnacentral:rRNA from 1 species
GAUGAACGCUGGCGGCGUGCUUAACACAUGCAAGUCGAACGGAAAGGCCCAAGCUUGCUUGGGUACUCGAGUGGCGAACGGGUGAGUAACACGUGGGUGAUCUGCCCUGCACUUCGGGAUAAGCCUGGGAAACUGGGUCUAAUACCGGAUAGGACCACUUCUUGGAUGUUGUGGUGGAAAGUUUUUUCGGUGUGGGAUGAGCUCGCGGCCUAUCAGCUUGUUGGUGGGGUAAUGGCCUACCAAGGCGUCGACGGGUAGCCGGCCUGAGAGGGUGUACGGCCACAUUGGGACUGAGAUACGGCCCAGACUCCUACGGGAGGCAGCAGUGGGGAAUAUUGAACAAUGGGCGCAAGCCUGAUGCAGCGAGGCCGCGUGGGGGAUGACGGCCUUCGGGUUGUAAACUCCUUUCGCUAGGGACGAAGCGUUUUGUGACGGUACCUGGAGAAGAAGCACCGGCUAACUACGUG